AUCUGCAUUACUCUUGCACGAAUCUGAAACAAAUAAUUUUAGCAAUUAAAAAGGAUGGUGAAGGAAUGAAUCUUUAUAAUAUAUGAAAUACAACCAAUACAUAAAAAUGUGAGUUCAAUACAUUGGAAGUGGGUUACAAACAUUUCUAUUAGGUUACAAUAAUAUUGGACCAUAGAAACUUAAACUUAACAUCAUCUGCCCAAUAGAUCACAAGGUCUGAAAGGGGAACUUAACUACUUUAAAAAAAAAAACGUAUCUAUUUUAUUUUCAACAAAGAAAAAAGGAAAAGUAAAGAUAUACCGAUGAGGCUCCACUUGCACAUGUC